CAGCACUGCUCUUGGUCAUCAAUUUGCUGGUUCACUCUAGCUGGCAGUGAUGACACGUAUGUUUUAGUUUUUUUUUAAAAAAAAUUGGUUUUAUAAUAUUUUGGGUUCUAAUUGGCCAUUUUAAUUCAAAUAUUCUAAAAAAAGAUCAAAAUAACGAUAAACAUUACAAAUAUCUGGUACACUACAAUUCAAGUGGUAUACAAGACCUCGAUCACUAAAAUUAAAAAAAAAAGAAAUUACAAGAGUCUAGGGAGCCACCCAAAUUUGUCCUUGUAGGUUUAGGCUCGUGCAAUGGGAUAUGACUCAUCACUGUCGGUUCUGUCAUUUCCAGCAGUGAUAUCGCCGACAGUGAUGGAGUGUUCUAUAGUAGUAAGACUUCUGUAGGGCAGUGCCAUUUGUGUCUGGAUAGAAGUAGUGCAAGUUAUUUCACACCUUUCUCCUUAACCAUUACUUCCUUCAUCUCAAAAUAAAUCAAAUUUAAAAUUAUCCUA
rnacentral:lncRNA from 1 species